UGAGUAACACGUGAGUGACCUGCCUUUUAGACUGGAACAACUUACCGAAAGGUGAGCUAAUGCCGGAUGAGUUAUAUAAGUGCAUGUUUAUAUAGGAAAAGUUGGGGAGACCUGACGCUGAAAGAUGGACUCGCGUCCCAUUAGCUAGUUGGUAGGGUAAUGGCCUACCAAGGCGACGGUGGGUAGCCGGCCUGAGAGGGUGGCCGGCCACACUGGGACUGAGACACGGCCCAGACUCCUACGGGAGGCAGCAG
rnacentral:rRNA from 1 species